rnacentral:lncRNA from 1 species
CAUCGGUUGCUUUCACAGUGCUAUUGAUGCCAACGGAAGAUGUGUCAGCGAAAAGAGAAAAUAAAAAAUCUCAAAGUUGUUGAGAGAGUUUGCACAGGGCAGUUGUGUGUUGAAUUGGAGAGGCUUGAAUGAUGGACAGCCUCCUCUAUUUAUAGCACCGGAUACCUUAUAGGUCGAGUUAACACCCUACUUGGAUUAGGACUUCUUCUUCUAAUCAAACACCAUCUCUAGUACUCAUGCUCCCAUCAGGAUUUUGAACCUAUCUUUUCAUCGAGCCGGAUUCACUUCCGGGUUAUUAAUCUCGCCGAGACUCCUUAUUACGCCAGGAUUCGACUCGUCUUGUAGUAUAGCUUAACCGACCUAGGUUUGAAAGCCCACGAACUAAACGCUCCAUGGUAACCUUAUCGUAAGGCCUUCCGGGCCAAGAAUGAUUCUAUACUCGGCCCAAACUAAUAUUUUGGGCCCAAACUAAUAUUUUGGGCCCAAACACAUAUGCACGCCAUUUCUUAUCGUAGUUGAAAAGAUUUGAACUAAUUAGGCACCAUAUGCAUUUGGAUCACUCCGAGUGAUUUCCAUUGGUAACUUUGCAAGUUGUGCGAUGCGACUUGUUUGUUGGCUCCUCCACUUCAUUCACCUAUGUGGGGCUCGGCGGUGAAGUAAUGAUCAAUUAAUUAUUUUGUUUUAGUUUUCUAUGUGCGGUUCACGAUCUAUUUCAAAGUGCCUAAUCUAGGCUCUUCAUUUCUCUAAAGUUGGACAUAUUUACAUAUUGACAUCUUAUAAUCAUUAGUGCAUAUAGUAUCACUACUACAUUAACACUUCUCGCGAACAAGCGAAGUUCGUCGUGCAAAGACAUAUUUCGUUGUUUAAAUAUUAACACUAUGAAAGCUUCAUCGCAAAGUUGUCCUUGCUUAAAGCUCAUGAAAAAAAGUGUUUGCAUGACGAACGAAAUGUCGUUCUUCGCACAAGGGUGCUUGCGCUAUUAAAUAGAACUUUGUUGCAUAAGAUAUAGGAGAAUGAAGCUUGUAGUCACGCAGAUAUCACGGUUAUGGAAACAUAUCAUCGCAUUGAGUUUAUGGCAACGACAGAGCAUCGUUAGGUCAGACAAUGAGCAACGAAGGCUUUUGUUGAGUAAACCUUUAUGCAACAAAACUCAAGUAAUUUUAAUAUUGUUUAUAUCAUAUUUAGGGCCUCGUAUUUAGAUCUCGUACAAAUACUCGGGGGACUUAAAUGUAAUUAUGUGAUAAAGGAAUGGGUAAAUAUGUAAUAAGUGAGGAGUCCUUAUUCUAUAAAAGGACCCUUCACCCUCACAAUUAGAGGAGGCCAAUUCCUAAGGCUCCUCACCCCCUCAAACUCUCACUCUCAGAGCCUCUCAUAUUCAUUACCGAGGCUCUCUCUCUCUCUCUCUCUCUCUCUCUCUCCCUCAGAAAUACAAUCAAUGUGGACGUAGCCCAAACCUUGGGGUGAACCACGAUACAUCUUGUGUUAUUAACUUUCUUGCAUAUUCACGGUCGGAUUUACGUUGUUCCAAGACUUCCGGUUUUGUGCAUCAACAUUUGGCGCCGUCUGUGGGAAACGACACAAAAAGCUAUGUCGGUUCUCUUUCUUUUUUUCAUCUCACCACCAUGAAACCUCACCACAAUCCCCACCUUGAAUCUGCAAAAACCCAACAACCCAAAGCUUUCCCCAGAAAAACCCAAGAAACCAGUCUCAUUUCUCUCUCAUCUCUCUCUAUAGAUCACCUUCUCUUUUUACUUAGUCUCUCUAUCUCUCUAUCUCUCAACCCAGAAAUAACUAAAACAACAAUAUCUCUCAAGCCACACACUUAAUAAAAUAAUUGCAUAUACAUAAAUUAGUUGCUCAAUUAUUUUAAUUAGGCACCAUUUGAAGAAGGCGAAGAACACUCGCAGACGGUCUCGACUUCUCGUCUGUGGAAGUUCUUAUGGUAGCCACAAGCAGCACAGCGUAGCCUCCGACCGCAGCAGCAUGAUUCCUCUGACACUCUCCAUAUCUCACGACAGUGAAAGAUGAAGCUGCUGAAGCUUGCUCUGUUCUUCUCAAAACGAGGAAGUGUAAGUUGUUGCUGCGCGAUGAGUCGGCGAACGAAGUCCGCGUCCAUUGCCAGUAGUUCAAAACUUACGUCAAGGCUAUAUUCCUCGCCGUUCAUUCUGGAAACGUCGCUUUGGUAAAGAAAUUACUGUAGUACCUACCCAAUUCGCCUUCUCGAUGAAGCGGAUCUAAAAGGGCCCUCCGCGAUAUCUCCCUGAACCUGCCUUGUUCUGACUGUAAAGGCUUGGAUCUCUGAAUGCGGUCGGCGCUGAACUUGCAGGUGAAGACCUGAGACGAGGGAGAGACACCGCCAUGAAAGCUAAAAUCGCCCAAAUUGAAUUCGGUCAGGCUACCCAAAUCACCCAAAUCAAAUCGGAUCUGAACGCUGGCAGAUCUUUUGUGUGGCUGGUGGGCCUGGGCGUCGGAGCUCAAUUCUUCAGACAUGGAGGAGCAUUUGCGCUCGAGCAUAAAGUUCCAGUGGUUCUCUAUAGCGUUAUCAGUGAGGCCGUGAAGCACCCGGUGCAAGGUUCCCACUUGUUUCCAAAUCGAGCAUGACGAUGGCCCAUUUGUUUCCAAGCCGUCUGCUCGCCACCACCAACAAUAAGGGGACUCUUGUUCAGAUUUUCAAUACUCUCGACGAGACUUUAUUGCAAGAAAUGGAGAGAAAUGGGGACCAACUGUACGAACACCGGCGAAUAAAGCAAAGGUUCGUGCGACAGUCUGGCUCUAAAGAGUCCGACUCCCUAUGAUGGUGGUCCGCAACGACUGCUUUAUCUUUUGUCAUGAGUGGCAAGGUUCGUGCGACAGUUUGGCUCUAAAGAGUCUAACUCCCUAUGAUGGUGGUCCCCGACUGCUUUAUCUUUUGUCAUGGGCUUCUAUAUAUGUCAUGAUCAUCCACUAUCCCACUACAAAAGAAAAAAAACCACGAGAUAACAUGCAAAAGAUAAAGACCGAUGCAAGUUCCCACUACACUGCACCACGGGAUAACAUGAUAAAGACUGGUGCAAGGUUCCCACUACACUGCACCACGGGAUAACAUGCUUUAUCUUUUUGAAUGAUGUAAUUUAUUUUUCUUAGCUGUCGGAGACAUCUGUAUAAACCCCAUCAGAGGGUAAUAAUACCAAAAAAAAAAAACGACAAAGCCCAAAAUAAAUGGGCUGGAAUGUAUUGUAGAGAGCGAAGGCCCAUAAGCCCAAAAUAGCUCCAACUAGGCGAUCAAAAGUACGCCCAAUACUCCAUAAUUAUUCGGCAACCUGCCACUAUUACCACCAACCAGGUGAUCAAAAGUACGCCCAGUACUCCACAAUUAUUUGGCAACCCGCCCCUAUAAUCACCAACCAGGUAAUGAAAUGUACAACCCGUAAUCUAAUAUCAUUUGGCAACUAGCCAUUCAUGCCACCAACCAGGUGAUGAAAUGUACAACCCGUACUCUAAUAUCAUUUGGCAACUAGCCAUUCAUGCUACCAACCAGGUGAUGAAAUGUACAACCCAACUCUAAUAUCAUUUGGCAACUAGCCAUUCAUGCCACCAACCAGGUGAUGAAAUGUACAACCCGUACUCUCCUUCAUGCCACCAACUAGGUGAUCAAAAGUACCAGUACUCUAAAUUAUACAUGAGCAUUACUCAUGUCAUUCAUACAUAAACAUUCAUGAGCAUCACUCAUGACAAUCAUACAUAAACAUUCAUGACCAUCAUUCAUGUCAACAUUCAUGAGCAUCACUCAUGUUAACAUUUAUGAGCAUCACUCAUGACAACAUCCAUGAGCAUCACUCAUGUCAAUCAACAUAAAUAUUCAUGAGCAUCACUCAUGUCAAUCAGCUUCAAAAGCUUCAUUUACAGAGCUCUAGCUUUGAAGUUUCACUUGCAAAACUUCACCUACAAAGCUUCAGUGCAGGGACACCACCUCCAAACAACCGUCAUUUCGGCCCAUACAUGGAUUCAAUUUGAAGUCUCUAGCCAACAGACUCUAUUGACCGAAGACUUGGGGGACUACAUUAUGUACCAUAUAUUGGGCCUCAACUGGGCCUCAUAAAAAAUACUUGGGGGACUUAGCCCAUUAUUUAUGUAUUAAGGAGCGAGCCCUUAUUCUAUAAAAGGACUCCCUCACCUUCAUUAGAGAGCAACGCCGCCAGCUGAGCAACUGCCUCGCCGCGAGCAUAACUCCUAGUCCAUCACUUAUGUAUUAAGGAGCGAGCCCUUAUUCUAUUAAAUGGACUCCUUCACACCAUUAGAAAGCAUCGCCGCCUACUGAGCUACCGACUCGCCGCAAGCAUCAACUCUAGCCCAUCAUUUAUGUAUUGAGGAGCGAGCCCUUAUUCUAUAAAAGGGACUCCCUCACUUUCAACGCCACAAGCCGAGCCAACCAAGGCAACAUAAGCCACGAGCCAAGCAGCCUCGCAGCAUGUGCUACUUCUAGUUGAGCAUCAUUUCAGAUUAAGCACCGCCUCAUAUCGAGCAUCAAGUUAAAGACAACAUCUAGUUACUUCGGCCCACACAUGGACUGAAUUUCAAGUCUCCAGCCAAAAGACUCUUUUGACUGAAGACUUGAGGGACUACUGUUUAUACCAUAUUUAGGGCCUCGUAUUUAGAUCUCGUACAAAUACUCGGGGGACUUAAAUGUAAUUAUGUGAUAAAGGAAUGGGCAAAUAUGUAAUAAGUGAGGAGUCCUUAUUCUAUAAAAGAACCCUUCACCCUCACAAUUAGAAGAGGCCAAUUCCUAAGGCUCCUCACCCCCUCAAGCUCUCACUCUCAGAGCCUCUCACAUUCAUUACAGAGGCUCUCUCUCUCUCUCCCUCAGAAAUACAAUCAGUGUGGACGUAGCCCAAACCUUGGGGUGAACCACAAUACAUCUUGUGUUAUUUACUUUCUUGUAGAUUCACGGUCGGAUUUACGUUGUUC